GAUGAACGCUGGCGGCGUGCUUAACACAUGCAAGUCGAACGGAAAGGUCCAAGCUUGCUUGGGUACUCGAGUGGCGAACGGGUGAGUAACACGUGGGUGAUCUGCCCUGCACUUCGGGAUAAGCCUGGGAAACUGGGUCUAAUACCGGAUAGGACCACUUCUUGGAUGUUGUGGUGGAAAGUUUUUUCGGUGUGGGAUGAGCUCGCGGCCUAUCAGCUUGUUGGUGGGGUAAUGGCCUACCAAGGCGUCGACGGGUAGCCGGCCUGAGAGGGUGUACGGCCACAUUGGGACUGAGAUACGGCCCAGACUCCUACGGGAGGCAGCAGGGGGGAAUAUUGCACAAUGGGCGCAAGCCUGAUGCAGCGACGCCGCGUGGGGGAUGACGGCCUUCGGGUUGUAAACUCCUUUCGCUAGGGACGAAGCGUUUUGUGACGGUACCUGGAGAAGAAGCACCGGCUAACUACGUG
rnacentral:rRNA from 1 species